CAGCCGCCGCGGUAAUACGAAGGGGGCUAGCGUUGUUCGGAAUCACUGGGCGUAAAGAGCGCGUAGGCGGACAGUUCAGUCGGGGGUGAAAGCCCGGGGCUCAACCUCGGAAUUGCCUUCGAUACUGGCUGUCUCGAGUAUGAGAGAGGUGUGUGGAACUCCGAGUGUAGAGGUGAAAUUCGUAGAUAUUCGGAAGAACACCAGUGGCGAAGGCGACACACUGGCUCAUUACUGACGCUGAGGCGCGAAAGCGUGGGGAGCAAACAGGAUUAGAUACCCCUGUAGUCCCUGUCUCUUAUAC
rnacentral:rRNA from 1 species